rnacentral:rRNA from 1 species
CGCGCAGGUGGUCAGGUAAGUCAGGGGUGAAAGCCCUCGGCCUAACCGGGGAAUUGCUUCUGAAACGGCCUGACUGGAGUGCAAGAGGGGAGAGUGGAACUCGAGGUGGAGCGGUGAAAUGCGUAGAUAUCUCGGGGAACGCCGGUGGCGAAAGCGGCUCUCUGGAUUGCAACUGACACUGAGGCGCGAAAGCCAGGGGAGCAAACGGGAUUAGAUACCCCGGUAGUCCUGGCCGUAAACGAUGAGAACUGGGUAGAGGGGGCUCCAAGGCCUUCCCUGCUGUAGCCAAUGUGCUAAGUUCUCCGCCUGGGGAGUACGGUCGCAAGGCUGAA